rnacentral:rRNA from 1 species
AUGAAGAUGAGCCGGCAAUGGAUGUAUGAUAACCGAUGCUCUCCCCAUUUCGUUGAUGGUGUGCAUACUUUUUUGCUUGUGGCUGAGGCAAACAAGCGGGCGGAUGGUUUUAUGCCUUGUCCAUGUGCUGGCUGUAAGAAUGGUCAGAAUUACUCUAAGUUAAAAACCAUUCACGUCCACCUGUUUAAGUCCGGUUUCAUUCCCCACUUUAAUGUUUGGACCAAGCACGGAGAAAGAGGGGUUAUGAUGGAAGACAAUGAAGAAGAAGAGGACGACGAUAGCUAUCCUGGACAUGGGUUCCCUGAAUACGAUGAUACAAUAAUGGGGGAAGAAGUUGAGCCAGCAAUGCGGGAAGAAUCUGAGCCAGCAAUGCGGGAAGAAACUAAAGAAGAGGCAUCAGAUGAGCCAGCUGAUGAUCUAGGUCGGGCCAUUGCUGAUGCAGAGAGAACUGCACAAGUGAAAAGGAGAAGAAGAAGAUGCAGCGCAUGUUAG